GAAAUGCGAUAAGUAGUGUGAAUUGCAGAAUUCAGUGAAUCAUCGAAUCUUUGAACGCACAUUGCGCCCCUCGGUAUUCCGUGGGGCAUGCCUGUUCGAGCGUCAUUUACCCCCUCAAGCUCUGCUUGGUGUUGGGCGCCUGUCCCGCCUCGUGCGCGGACUCGCCUAGAAGACAUUGGCAGCGGUCGUGCCAGCUUCUCGCGCAGCACAUUGCGCUUCUCGAGGCUUUGGCGGAUCAGCGUCCAGCAAGUCCAUCUCCAGUUUGACCUCGGAUCAGGUAGGGAUACCCGCUGAACUUAA
rnacentral:misc_RNA from 1 species